rnacentral:lncRNA from 1 species
GGGGGUAGGGCACAGAGACGUGAAUAAUAAUUGUAAUUGUGAUGAGGCUGCGUGAACUGAACUUUUAUCUUGCUGCCAUCCCCAAGGCACCAGACCUGUGGUCGAGGGAGAAACUUCCUGGCGAUUUGGGCCUGCCAGCAAUCAUUGCGAGCCGAGUUCCAUACGGAGUCUCCAGCUGGCCUUCGUGGAGCAAGGGACUGGGCAAGCCUGCCCGGUUGUACGGUCACCCUUUGGAGGGUACUCUUUGCUGCUAAUGAUCCAUGAAGAGGGGGUUGCUGAUGCCUGAAGGGGAUCUUGGACAAAGGAGCUACACUCAGCUCUGGAUAACUCUUUGCUGGCCUUUCCCUAAACUAAAUAAACAUUGAAUACUAA